GCUAGCGUGGCAGAGUAGGUAAUUGCAAAAGCCCUAAGACCUUUAAACCGGAGGUUCAACUCCUCCCACUAGCU
rnacentral:tRNA from 1 species